GAUACUUUGUAUCGAUGUAUGGAUACUUCCUAACCCGUGGUGAGUUGCAAUGUCUCCAACGUAGAAGAUGGAUAAACGACAGGUUUAUGACUAUGGUGGCGAAGACAUUCGUUGGAGAUCAAAAGGAAAAAGAUGGGCGAGUCAACCGUCAUAUAUUUUCUGCAGAUUUCAUGCAGAAAAUGGUGGCGAAUCCUUUAAGGU